rnacentral:rRNA from 1 species
AAAGCGUGCGCAGGCGGUUUUGUAAGACUGUCGUGAAAUCCCCGGGCUCAACCUGGGAAUGGCGAUGGUGACUGCAAGUCUAGAGUUUGGCAGAGGGGGGUAGAAUUCCACGUGUAGCAGUGAAAUGCGUAGAUAUGUGGAGGAACACCGAUGGCGAAGGCAGCCCCCUGGGUCAAAACUGACGCUCAUGCACGAAAGCGUGGGGAGCAAACAGGAUUAGAUACCCCAGU